GGGGAAUUUUGGACAAUGGGGGCAACCCUGAUCCAGCCAUCCCGCGUGUGCGAUGAAGGCCUUCGGGUUGUAAAGCACUUUUGGCAGGGAAGAAACGGCGCUGAUUAAUACUUGGCGCAACUGACGGUACCUGCAGAAUAAGCACCGGCUAACUACGUGCCAGCAGCCGCGGUAAUACGUAGGGUGCAAGCGUUAAUCGGAAUUACUGGGCGUAAAGCGUGCGCAGGCGGUUUGGAAAGAAAGAUGUGAAAUCCCAGAGCUUAACUUUGGAACUGCAUUUUUAACUGCCAAGCUAGAGCAUGUCAGAGGGGGGUAGAAUUCCACGUGUAGCAGUGAAAUGCGUAGAGAUGUGGAGGAAUACCGAUGGCGAAGGCAGCCCCCUGGGAUAAUACUGACGCUCAUGCACGAAAGCGUGGGGAGCAAAC
rnacentral:rRNA from 1 species